ACAACACCGGUUCUCGUACAAUCACCGAAGUUAAGCAACAUCGAGCCUAGGUAGUAUCUAGGUGGGUGUCCGCUGGGAAAUAAUCAAGUACUGUA